UACGAAGGGGGCUAGCGUUGCUCGGAAUUACUGGGCGUAAAGGGAGCGUAGGCGGACAGUUAAGUCAGUGGUGAAAGCCCAGAGCUCAACUCUGGAAUUGCCUUUGAUACUGAUUGUCUUGAGUAUGGGAGAGGUAUGCGGAACUCCGAGUGUAGAGGUGAAAUUCGUAGAUAUUCGGAAGAACACCAGUGGCGAAGGCGGCAUACUGGCCCAUUACUGACGCUGAGGCUCGAAAGCGUGGGGAGCAAACAGG
rnacentral:rRNA from 1 species